rnacentral:rRNA from 1 species
GACGAACGCUGGCGGCGUGCUUAACACAUGCAAGUCGAACGGAAAGGCCCUGCUUUUGUGGGGUGCUUGAGUGGCGAACGGGGGAGUAAAACGUGAGUAAACUGCCCUUGACUUUGGGAUAAAUUCAGGAAAAUGGGGCGAAUACCCGGGAGGAGCUCCUGAUGCAUGGUGGGGGUUGGAAAGAUUCGGCGGUGGGGGAUGGUGUGGAGGGUUAUCAGCUUGUUGGUGGAGUAGUGGCUUACAAAGGCUUUGACGGGUAGCCCGCCUGAGAGGGUGAACGGGCACAUUGCGCCUGAGGUACGGCCCAGAAUCCUACCGGACGCAGUAGUGGAGAAUAUUGCACAAUAGGCGGAAGCCUGAUGCAGCAACGCCGCGUGCGGGAUGACGGCCUUCGGGUUGUAAACCGAUUUCUCCUUUGACAAAGCGUGCUUGACGGUAAUGGGUAAAGAAGCACCGGCUAACUACGUG